GGAGCUGCAGUUGGGUCAAGCACUCCUGGCAGAAGGUGUGCAAGCACGCCAGCAGCUUGGGCGCGCGCCGGUCUGCGUCGAAGUAGUUGUAGCAGAUCUUGCACUCGUAGUCCUCGAGCGGAGGGAGGCCGGAGAUCGCCACCGCUGCGUUCCGGGCUCCGGCCUCCCGACCGUCCCGGGCUCCCACCGCGGUGCUUCCUGCUCCUGUGGAGCUCCCAGGGCUGCUGGUUGGACUCUGCUCGCCGCCGCCGCUGUCGCUUGCCGGCGCUGCCAUGGCAUGAUCCGCCCCUCAUCAGGGUUAAGGUGAGGCGCCUUCCUCCCCCUAUGCCGCUGUCUCGGCUCAGGGCGGGGAGGAGGCGCUUCUGCCUCCCCCCCACUGGCUGCUGUCGCCUGGCGGGGGAGGCACUGCUGGCUGGGCCGGGCGGGGGCGUAGCGGCGACCGCCUCCCCCCACUCUCCCAAGGAGGUGCGGGCACCGCGGUCCCUCCCAGUCCCCGGGAGCCUCUCUGCUGUCCCCCUUGGGCCUCUCAAGGAAGCGUCUCUGGCCGCUUUGGAUAUUGGUUUUUGUUGGACUUGGAAUUGGGAAUUGAGGGCGACUGGGGGACGCCGGGACAGAGGGCGAUUCAGGAGCUCACCGGUGAUGUAAUGCGGACCCGCACAGGGAGGGGAAGCAGCAGCCUCAGCAGUGGCGGCAGCGGUGGUUCUAGUCUUCGUGAAAAUCGUGAUCUCAUUUCUCUGUCCAAGGGCGAAGGCCGGUCGUCACCAAGACAUUUGCACUUUCUGUUUUUAUUAGCAAAGCCCAGCUGCUUUGGCAGCCCGGCAGCGUUCUUCUCAGGGUGGAAGCCGAGGGAUGGCAU
rnacentral:lncRNA from 1 species